rnacentral:tRNA from 2 species
GCCGAAGUGGCGGAACUGGCAGACGCGCUACGUUCAGGGCGUAGUGGGCGUGAGCCCGUGGGAGUUCAAAUCUCCCCUUCGGCACCA